UGCGAUCAUCAGAACUAUCGUAGGAGAUCCAUCAUUGAUCCCUGAUAAAAUUUUCUUGGUGAACUAGGUCAUUGGCUCUGUAGCGAAAAAAAUUAUCGAAAGUGCCAUCCAUUUAAUCUACAAAGGUAGACUUCGUGGGAGUUUCCUAACACCAUGAAAACACCAUCGAUGUUCUCCUGACAUAUGUAUAUCCAGCAGAGUGUUUAUGGCCUUAAGUUAAAAAAUGACUUACCCAGUGAUACAAUUGGUUUAAGGUAUUUAUUUGAAGAAUUAUAUGUAUAGUUUUACCAUAUCCCUCAGCCAUCAUUUUUUACGCGCAUAAUUUGGAUUUUAUACCCGAAGUGGAGGUGGAUGUGUGCAACACCAAGAAGAAAGCGUUUGCGACCCUAUAUGGUACAUACAUACAUAGUAUAUUCUUGAUCAGCAUCAUCAAACCGAGUGGAUACUAUAAGAGCAUGAGCUUCGCAACUUUUUUCGCCGGAAUGAGGCAGGCAUGGCUGAAUUGCAUAUCAUGGUACGGCACCCGACAAAAUGGGGUGCCGCACAAUGCACCCUCCACUCUCGCAGCUGUUGGCUCACGCACACACACAAAGCUACAACAAAAAACAAUAUGCGAACAGGUGCACAGAAAGCAAAGAAAGAUGUCGCGCAGCUAGAGGGAAAAUUCGAUACGAAAUAACUGUAAACAAACAAAACGUCCCUUUGCUUGUUGUUUUUGGGGAGGUUCUGCUUAUGCGUAGAAUGUACAUACGCAUACAUACAUACAGAUGUACAUACCCAGCGGACCAAAAAACGAUAGUAAAACGAAACUUACAUAAAAUGUUCGCGAACGGACUAAGAAAUGAUACAAAUCCGAGAGCGAUGACUGAAGUCUCGCUAAAUGUUCACAGAUGAACUCUGAAAAGAGCAUUUAGCGGAUGAGGAUUUCCCAAACACCCAGCAGUCAUCUAUCUUAGGCAAAGUAAAUAAGAUGUAUACAAAAAAUGUACCUUAUUUUAAAUAAAGUUCAUCGCAAGACAGCGGAAAUUGUGGCUCUUCGCUUAGAAAUUUCAGAUACCAAGUCAAAGCUUUGUGAAACCCUUAUGAACCAUUCCAGAUAAUCGACUAACGGGACAGCUUUGAACAGAGUUUGCUGGAAGAGCGGGACUUUAAAAAUGGGAUCUCAGAGCUUUAGAUGUCCAGCGAGGAAGCGUUCGACCAAUGGAUUCGUAGCUCUUCGCACCAUCUUUCUUGCGGACAAGGUCGCACGACAGUGUUCUUGGCGUGGCACAGAGGCCAGGAAAUGUAUUAGGGGCUUGCGCGUUGCCCUAGCAAUCCGUAGUAAAUAUUAUUUUAAAAGUGUGCACAAUCGCAAUUGCCAUAUCGCUUACGAAGAUUUUGUCCACUGGGUAGUAUGAAUUUGGAGGGGUGUGUGUGUGCUUGCAAAGGCUUUUUCGCCGUUAGCGGGGCUUACAGCAUCCAUCCCUUGCUUUCUAUGGGGCAGGAACGACGACCAACAUACCAUCGCUGUAUAUGUAUAUACAUGCGUGCUCCCUUCUCUCUCUCCCUCACCCUCUCCUGUGUAUCUCUCUCCCCAAUAACAAUGAAAGUGCGAUUGCCUGCCAUAAAAA